CCUUCUUCUUGGCCUUUUGGCUAAGAUCAAGUGUAGUAUCUGAUACAUUACUGAUUUUCUACCUGGUGACCUCUAUGAAUUGUGCUAUUUUGAUGUAAAGUAUUUUAAAAAACAGGAGCAGAAGGAAGAGAAAAUCAAUCAUUUCCUCAUCAACGUCAUUUGUUUUUCUCCCACAUAAACUGCUUUGCCUAUAU